rnacentral:lncRNA from 1 species
UUUUCUACGAGGAAUAAAAUUGAUUUAUAGUAUUUAAUUUUUAAUUCGAUGGCUAAAGGUGUUUCUAACUAAGAAGUGACCCAGUUAACAGGUCAAUAUCGUAACUGUUUCGGACGAUAACGUCAUUCAGACUUUCCGUUAUUUCUUAGUGAGAUACUAUAUUGGAUCAGAAAAUAACAUGCUACUUUCAGAAGUCAUCUCGAAAAUCCAAUUAGUGGAGAACUGCUUAACGGAGCACCAGUCACUUAAAUCGCACUUUACCAAUUUCCCUUCUUAUUAGAGGAUCAGAUGGCAAAUGAAUGAAAUAAGCGUGGUACGUGCAGUAUAAACACAAAAUUCAGCAAUUAUAUACAUCUUGCCUUGUGCAUGCUGCAAUUUGCAAAGAAUGAGGCAAUGCUUCUGCUUACAGUUAUAUUUCUGGUAAAGAAACUACGAGUUUGAAGGAUCUUAAAUAUUUCUAUAUUGUACCACAAGAAUUAAGACAAAUUAACUUCUGAAAAAGUCUUGAACAUCAAGUCUCAAUUUCCAAUCUCAACUGAAUAGAAAUUAUCACCAAAAAGUAUUCGAUAAGCUGUGGCAAGCAGUACAAUUUUCGGUCUCGAAAGAAAAUGCGCCACUGUUAUGCAAUUAAGAUUUUAAUAGAACUCUCAUGUCCGUGAAUCUCCGUUGGCCGCACCGAACACCGCAUCCCUCAAGGGGUUAAUUUCAUUUCGACUGUCUGGGCAACAUGCGAGCCGAAGGUGUGCAUCACGAAAGAACCUGCUACUGCAC